UACGUAGGGGGCAAGCGUUGUCCGGAUUUAUUGGGCGUAAAGAGCGUGUAGGCGGCCAUACAGGUCCGUUGUGAAAACUGGAGGCUUAACCUCCAGACGUCGAUGGAAACCGUAUGGCUAGAGUCCGGAAGAGGAGAGUGGAAUUCCUGGUGUAGCGGUGAAAUGCGCAGAUAUCAGGAAGAACACCCGUGGCGAAGGCGGUUCUCUGGGCAUGUCCUGACGCUGAGGAGCGAAAGUGUGGGGAGCGAACAGG
rnacentral:rRNA from 1 species